GUGGAUUAGAUACCCUGGUAGUCCCUGCUGUAAACGAUGAAGACUGGCUGUUGGGUACCCACUGGGUAUUUAGUAGCGAAGCUAACGCGUUAAGUCUUCCGCCUGGGGAGUACGGCCGCAAGGUUAAAACUCAAAGGAAUUGACGGGGGCCCGCACAAGCGGUGGAGCAUGUGGUUUAAUUCGACGCAACGCGAAGAACCUUACCUACCCUUGACAUCCUCGGAAGCUGCUAGAGAUAGUGGUGUGCCUUCGGGAACCGAGAGACAGGUGCUGCACGGCUGUCGCCAACU
rnacentral:rRNA from 1 species